GAAUUCGAUUCAGGCCUAACACAAACAAGUCGUACGGGAAUUUUUAAUUCAUGUGGCGGACGGGUGAGUAACACGUAAGAAUUUGCCUUUAGGAGGGGGACAACAACUGGAAACGGUUGCUAAUACCCCAUAUGCUUUCGAGUGAAAUGGAUUUUUCCGCCUAAAGAGAAGCUUGCGGCUGAUUAGCUUGUUGGUGAGGUAAUGGCUCACCAAGGCGACGAUCAGUAUCUGGUUUGAGAGGAUGAUCAGACACACUGGAACUGAGACACGGUCCAGACUCCUACGGGAGGCAGCAGUGGGGAAUUUUCCGCUUUAGAGGAAAGCCUGACGGAGCAAUCUCGCGUGA
rnacentral:rRNA from 1 species